rnacentral:lncRNA from 1 species
GAAUCGGCGGAUUAAACAGUCAGGUGGGCUAAGCAUGUAACUCUCUUCAGGUCCUAAAGUCAUACCUGUUGUGUGACCCCUAUUACCCUGCAUUUUGAAACUAUUAGGUGAGCUAAUAUACUUGCAUUUUUUCUACUGAGUUUGUUGGCUACAACGUUGCCCUUGCUUGGGUGAUACAAGAUGUUGCAAUCGUAGUCCUUGAGGAGU